UAUAUUUUGGAUCAAGAUCCUCUCCUGAUAUGAUUUUUAUAUGAGCAAAUGCUAUUAAUAUUAUUGGUGGUUAAUAAAUAACAAAAAUUUAAAUUAAAUCUUAAUAAUUCACUAAUAUUAAAAUACAAAUGGCACAAGAUCUGUAAAAAAUCAAAAGUAUUCAGAUCAGGAGAGGAUCUCAAUCUAUAUAUUUUAUCCAUCUAACAAGAUAUCAGACUCCAAGCAGUCUAGGAAGUGGCAGCCUACACCACAUGUAAAUAAUGCUAUAUAUGUAUGUAGGAACUAUUAAACAGUCGCUCAUCAUCCAGCAAAAUUGAGUCUCUCUUUUAUUGAUGAUCUUGUUUGGCUCCAGGAUCCUCCCACAAACAUUGUCGAACUUUCGUAACUUAUGUUUCUUUAGCAAAAGAAAGGGUACUUUCAUUAGAAAAAAAAAAAAAAAGGAAGAAAAAAAGAUCGUUGUCUUACAUAUUGAUCGGAGCUAACAAUAAGGAAUGAUGGGAUUAGGGAUAGCAAAAAUCUCCACGGGGACGGGUACCCUCGGGGAUUUUCCCCAUUCGGGGAGGAUAUGAGGAUAAUUUCAGACCCAAUUUCUUAUUCGGG
rnacentral:lncRNA from 1 species